CACGUAGGGCGCAAGCGUUGUCCGGAAUUAUUGGGCGUAAAGAGCUCGUAGGCGGUCUGUUGCGUCCGCUGUGAAAACCCGGGGCUUAACCCCUGGCUUGCAGUGGAUACGGACAGACUAGAGUGCGGUAGGGGAGACUGGAAUUCCUGGUGUAGCGGUGAAAUGCGCAGAUAUCAGGAGGAACACCGGUGGCGAAGGCGGGUCUCUGGGCCGUAACUGACGCUGAGGAGCGAAAGCGUGGGGAGCGAACAGG
rnacentral:rRNA from 1 species